rnacentral:lncRNA from 1 species
UUUCUAAACUCUAAACUCUGAGUUCUUUUGUAUGUUCCAGCUUACCUCACAAAGGUCCUUGCCACUCCUCCCUCCCGGGACACAGUCCCUUCCAGGGGCCCCUGUAAGACUACAGCCCAUCUCUUCUAAUUCAGGCAAUUUCUGCUUUCUUCUCUGUGGUACUACUUUCCCUUGAGGCAAGGGGAACACCAGGAGCCUGGCUACCUGCAGGGAAAAGGCACGUAGAGUAAAAACAUCCAUCUCAGAGCAAAUGACAUCCCCAUCUGGCUAUGCAUCUCGGCAGGGCCAGGAGAGUGGGCUGAGUAAAGAACAAUGAGGGCAGGCCAGCUUCACCCUGGAUGUGAUCUCCUUUGAAGCAAGAAGGAGUCCUAAAAACAUGGAAAAUUCCCCAACAAGGACUUACUUCUGGCUUUGCAAGAUUCUAGCUAGAGCUGUGCCUCCAGCCUGGGACGAUAACAACCCUACAAGUGGAUUGAUCCAGAGGUGAUGCCUGCUCCAAGCUGGGCGAUUAGAUGAAAUGGACUAUGCCUGCAGAGCCUCCUUGAAAAUGGACAACAACAGAAACUGCCUCUUCUACUGGCUAGUCAUAUGACCUCAAGUUUUCUGUCCCGCUGGGCACUCCGGCCUUAUAUUCUCCAUGAGAGCGCUGCUCUGCUACCUGCGCUCCGGCCAAACACAGCAGAUAACCUGCCUUCUACACAGUCCCUUCUGAAAGCCUGGACUAGAGUGCAGAGCACAGAGAUCCCCUUGGUAACUCCUCUUCCCCAGCCCCACACUGCAUUGGGUUAAAUCCUAGGGAGGAAAACAAGACAAUCUCUGCAUCUAUUGACUGAGUUCAUAAUUUACAGAAUUUUCUCUUACAUUUCACCUAUGACUACCUGCUUAUUUUACACGACAAAAGGCCAGUAGAGGUAAAUUAUCUAAUA